rnacentral:rRNA from 1 species
AGUGAACGCUGGCGGUAGGCCUAACACAUGCAAGUCGAACGGCAGCACAGUAAGAGCUUGCUCUUACGGGUGGCGAGUGGCGGACGGGUGAGGAAUACAUCGGAAUCUACUUUUUCGUGGGGGAUAACGUAGGGAAACUUACGCUAAUACCGCAUACGACCUACGGGUGAAAGCAGGGGAUCUUCGGACCUUGCGCGAUUGAAUGAGCCGAUGUCGGAUUAGCUAGUUGGCGGGGUAAAGGCCCACCAAGGCGACGAUCCGUAGCUGGUCUGAGAGGAUGAUCAGCCACACUGGAACUGGGACACGGUCCAGACUCCUACGGGAGGCAGCAGUGGGGAAUAUUGGACGAUGGGCGCAAGCCUGAUCCAGCCAUACCGCGUGGGUGAAGAAGGCCUUCGGGUUGUAAAGCCCUUUUGUUGGGAAAGAAAAGCAGCAGGUUAAUACCCCGCUGUUCUGACGGUACCCAGAGAAUAAGCACCGGCUAACUUCGUG